GAUGAACGCUGGCGGCGUGCUUAACACAUGCAAGUCGAACGAGAAAUGGAGACGGAAACCUUCGGGCGGAAGGCUUCAUUUCGAGUGGCGGACGGGUGAGUAACGCGUGGGUAACCUGCCUCAUACAGGGGGAUAACAGUUGGAAACGACUGUUAAUACCGCAUAAGACCACAGCACCGCAUGGUGCGGGGGUAAAAACUCCGGUGGUAUGAGAUGGACCCGCGUUCGAUUAGCCAGUUGGCGGGGUAACGGCCCACCAAAGCGACGAUCGAUAGCCGAUCAGAGAGGAUGACCGGCCACAUUGGGACUGGGACACGGCCCAAACUCCUACGGGAGGCAGCAGUGGGGAAUAUUGCACAAUGGGGGAAACCCUGAUGCAGCGACGCCGCGUGAGUGAAGAAGUACUUCGGGAUGUAAAGCUCUAUCAGCAGGGAAGAAAAUGACGGUACCUGAGGAAGAAGCCCCGGCUAACUACGUG
rnacentral:rRNA from 1 species